rnacentral:rRNA from 1 species
GACGAACGCUGGCGGCGUGCUUAACACAUGCAAGUCGAACGGAAAGGCCCUGCUUUUGUGGGGUGCUCGAGUGGCGAACGGGUGAGUAACACGUGAGUAACCUGCCCUUGACUUUGGGAUAACUUCAGGAAACUGGGGCUAAUACCGGAUAGGAGCUCCUGCUGCAUGGUGGGGGUUGGAAAGUUUCGGCGGUUGGGGAUGGACUCGCGGGUUAUCAGCUUGUUGGUGGGGUAGUGGCUUACCAAGGCUUCGACGGGUAGCCGGCCUGAGAGGGUGACCGGCGUCAUUGGGACUGAGAGACGGCGCAGACGCCUACGGGAGACAGCAGUGGAGAAUAUGGCACAGUGGGCGGGAGCGUGAUGCAGAGGCGCCGCGUGCGGGAUGACGGCCUUCUGGUUAUGAACCGCUUUCGCCUGUGACGAAGCGUGAGUGACGGUAAUGGGUAAAGAAGCACCGGCUAACUACGUG